GUACUAUUACUAUGGAAUAUAAAGCUGAAGUGUAUACUGGUCUAAUCUUGUGGUUGCUUGGAAAGGACAGGGUUAUGGGAAUUUUUUAGGUAUAUUUUAAUGUGGGUUUUUUUUUUAGAGGGGACAGUGCUCAGGCCCUGAGUUCAAGCCCCAGGACUGGCAAAAAAAAAAAAAGGUAUUCAGUAGCCAGCUCAGUACCAAAGUCAAAGCUUUUCUUCUAAAGGAGAGUCCACCAACUUCUGUGUAUAGCAACUUAUGUGUUCACUGUCUGACAGCUAAGAAUGCCCUUUUAAGAAUAUUUUAAAUGGUUAUAUAAUUACCUCCAGCACUUGUCUAGCAAGUGCAAUGCAAGGUACCGCCUAACUAAUGACCUUUGACCUCAAAGUCUGAAAUAUUUACUAUUGGUACUGUUUAAUAUUUGCUUAUCUCUCAAGAAAUUGUCACUCUAAUGGGUAAGUACUGUCAUUAGUUCUAUAUGUAAGAAACAUGGCAAUUAAAUAUUUCUUUUGGGCCUCAUUUUCUCAUACUUAGAAAAGUAACUUAAUGCUUGUUCUGUUCUCUGGAAAAGUUGUGUAAGGAUCCAAGAUAGGUAAAACUAAACAUCUUUGUUUUGCUUCAUAGAGAUUGGCCUUUCUGUUCAAAGCAAGUAUAUUUGCUAAUCUACUUCCUCUGCUUCGUAGGGCAUAGUUGUUUCUUUGCAGAAAACCUAGAGCAAGCCUUUAAGCUUUUCUAACAGAUUGACAAUUGGGAACCUUGGAAAGAGUUAUCACUUACAAUUUUGCUGGUGUGUGUUAAAGGGGUACUAUGGGUAAGGAUUAGCUAUGUGCCCAGUAAAUCACGUACUACAUGUGCUUGCUGUCUCCUUGAUGGAGUUACCUUUUUUCUAUCUAACCUUUAAAAGGAAGCAACUGAUUUCAUUGGUUUGAACGAAGCUUUUAUUUUUAUUAGAAAAUAGCUUUCUGGGGAAUCAGUUAUUUGUAGGAGACAGUGUACACCAGUAAACCUGAGAACUAGUCUGAAAUUUCUCAAACAAACAGAAACUCUGUUCUUAGGAAACUCAAAGGAACAAUUGGAAGAAAUGGGUGAGGGCUUUGGGUGUGUUCCAGCGGUACUGCCUUCCUAACAACAUGAGGCCCUGAGUUCAAACCCCAGUAACAGCAAAAAAUAAAA